GAUGAACGCUGGCGGCGUGCCUAAUACAUGCAAGUCGAGCGAACAGAUGAGGAGCUUGCUCCUCUGACGUUAGCGGCGGACGGGUGAGUAACACGUGGAUAACCUACCUAUAAGACUGGGAUAACUUCGGGAAACCGGAGCUAAUACCGGAUAAUAUAUUGAACCGCAUGGUUCAAUAGUGAAAGACGGUUUUGCUGUCACUUAUAGAUGGAUCCGCGCCGCAUUAGCUAGUUGGUAAGGUAACGGCUUACCAAGGCAACGAUGCGUAGCCGACCUGAGAGGGUGAUCGGCCACACUGGAACUGAGACACGGUCCAGACUCCUACGGGAGGCAGCAGUAGGGAAUCCUCCGCAAUGGGCGAAAGCCUGACGGAGCAACGCCGCGUGAGUGAUGAAGGUCUUCGGAUCGUAAAACUCUGUUAUUAGGGAAGAACAAAUGUAUAAGUAACUAUGCACGUCUUGACGGUACCUAAUCAGAAAGCCACGGCUAACUACGUG
rnacentral:rRNA from 1 species